AGAAUGUUGGCAUUAGUAGCGAGAUGUAGGUGAGAAUCCUACAGGCCGAAUAUCUAAGGUUUCCUCAGGAAGGCUCGUCCGCUGAGGGUUAGUCGGGACCUAAGCCGAGGCCGAAAGGCGUAGGCGAUGGACAACAGGUUGAUAUUCCUGUACCACUACCAUCGUUAUUAUCGAGGGUGUGACGGAGAAGGAUAGUGUGUGCUAGCGAUUGGAAAUGCUAGUCUAAGCGUUUAGGCAGUUACGGUAGGCAAAUCCGCUGUAACGUUAAUGCUGAGGCGUGAUGGGGAAGGCCCUUGAGGCUGAAGUACAUGAUUCCAUGCUUCCAAGAAAAGCAUUUAGAGAGAGAAGUAGUGCCCGUACCGCAAACCGACACAGGUAGAUGAGGAGAGAAUCCUAAGGCCGGCGGAAGAAUUGCAGUUAAGGAACUAGGCAAAUUGACCCCGUAAGUUAGCGAGAAGGGGUGCCUGCGAGAGCAGGCCGCAGAGAAUAGGCCCAAGCAACUGUUUAGCAAAAACACAGGUCCCUGCUAAAGCGCAAGCUGAUGUAUAGGGGCUGACGCCUGCCCGGUGCUGGAAGGUUAAGGGGAACACUUAGCGCAAGCGAAGGUGUGAACUUAAGCCCCAGUAAACGGCGGCCGUAACAAUAACGGUCCUAAGGUAGCGAAAUUCCUUGUCAGGUAAGUUCUGACCCGCACGAAUGGCGUAAUGACUUGGGCACUGUCUCAACUGCAAAUCCGGCGAAGUUGUAGUGCGAGUGAAGAUGCUCGCUACCCGCGAUUGGACGGAAAGACCCCGUAGAGCUUUACUGUAGCUUAGCAUUGAAUUCCGGUAUUGUCUGUACAGGAUAGGUGGGAGACUGGGAAACUAGGGCGUCAGCCUUAGUGGAGUCGUCCUUGGGAUACCACCCUGACAGUACUGGGGUUCUAACAGGACGCCAUGAAUCUGGUGACUGGACAUUGUUAGGUGGGCAGUUUGACUGGGGCGGUCGCCUCCUAAAAAGUAACGGAGGCGCCCAAAGGUUCCCUCAGAACGGUCGGAAAUCGUUCGUAGAGUGCAAAGGCAGAAGGGAGCCUGACUGCGAGACCCACAAGUCGAGCAGGUACGAAAGUCGGGCUUAGUGAUCCGGUGGUACCUCGUGGGAGGGCCACCGCUCAACGGAUAAAAGCUACCUCGGGGAUAACAGGCUGAUCUCCCCCAAGAGUCCACAUCGACGGGGAGGUUUGGCACCUCGAUGUCGGCUCGUCGCAUCCUGGGGCUGUAGUAGGUCCCAAGGGUUGGGCUGUUCGCCCAUUAAAGCGGCACGCGAGCUGGGUUCAGAACGUCGUGAGACAGUUCGGUCCCUAUCCGUCGCGGGCGUAGGAAAUUUGAGAGGAGCUGUCCUUAGUACGAGAGGACCGGGAUGGACUGACCUCUGGUGCACCAGUUGUUCUGCCAAGAGCAUGGCUGGGUAGCUAAGUCGGGAAGGGAUAAACGCUGAAAGCAUCUAAGCGUGAAGCCUCCCUCAAGAUGAGAUUUCCCAUAGCAUAAGCUAGUAAGACCCCUUGAAGAACACGAGGUUGAUAGGUCAGAGGUGUAAGUGUGGUAACAUAUUUAGCUGACUGAUACUAAUAG
rnacentral:rRNA from 1 species